GGGAGCGCUGGGGGCGGGGCAGCUGGCCAGCGGCUGGAGAAGCCAGGCCACCUGGGGAGCGGGGGGGGGGCAGGGGGGAGGCAAACGACACACCCCCGCGCCCGCCCGGGACACGGGAAAGGGAGUGGCAUCGCGUUCUGCCUAGUCAUCGCCUGCGAGGUCGCGUCAUCCCUGAUGUCAGGCCUUUGAGGGGCUUCGUUCCAGCUCCGGGCUCCAGGAAAGGGCGUCGCGGGGCCCAGCGGUUACACAACCUCCCCAAGGUCGCGCCGGAAGGGCCCGGCACGCCAGGGGAUCCGCACCCUGCCCGGUGUCCGCGGGCACUGUCCGCAGGUGGUCGGGCUCCGCGCAGCGCCCUUGACCAAUCCGUGGCCUUGGCCUAGCGUCCUUCUUCCUGGCUCAAAAAUGGUCUUUCAUGCUAAGCUGUCCUUGGCGGCUGUAUCAUUUAAAAAGAGCCUCUUGAAACCACACGUGUUUUGAAAUGAACCCGGGAAGGGUGUGAGUGGAGGCGGGUGGACUCCCUUCCGUUCCAGCCGCGGGGCGCUGCCUUCCUGCCCGGCCCUGCUCGGAUCCCGCGAGCACGCCGGCGGCACACGAGGGCCUUCCGACGGCUCCGUGAGGCUCUCCUGAAAGCUCGCGAGUCCUUGGGCUCUGAGUGGUUGGAGUUCGGUCCAUUAUGAGAAAUCUCCUUUUGAGCAUGGAUAUAUUCAAAUCCAGAUGUUGUCCCCGCAGAACAAAAAGCUCUCCUAAUUCUCUUUAUGAAGAAGGAAGUUCUCUUUGAGCGAAUAACAUCUCUGGAGAAGUGCUUUUUUUUUUUUUUUUCCUCCCAGCCAAGGACCUGCUGCUCUGAAUGUUUUAAAACGGAUUUAAUAGCCUCUCUCCAUCCCACUUCAGAUGCCAGGACGCCAGCGACAAGUAGGGCCCAGUGUUUUUGAGACUCUCUGAGGGCUCAAAGCAGGACCCUCUCCUGACCUGACUUGCACCUGCUCUUGACAAUCACGGAGUGGGCUCUCAGUUCUUCCCUGGAGCGGGGCAGGGGGAUACUUCCGCUCCUUUCUCUGUGCCUGGGUCUUCUCUCCAAGGGGAGGAAAACCGAGACUUGCAGGAUUCGAACCCAGUUCUGUCUGGCACCCAAUCCCUGCUUUUUGGCACGACAUUAGCCACUGGCCAGCAUCAGUAUGGCCUAGAAUUGGGCCCACUAGGAAUCAUCUUCUUGCAAGCUGCUAAACGGCGUUCCUUGGGCACUCCUGAAAGACCCCAAAGUCCUACGCCUGGAUCAGAAGCUGUGGAGAACAGAGGACUUCCAGGGGCUUUGGAAAGAACACCAGAUGCCUCAACCAUGACAGGUGUGUGUGCAUGUGUGUGCGCGUGUGAACAGAUGAUCAGAGACAAAUAAUGACCACAGAAAAAUGGAAACCCUUCUCUCACUCCAUGCCUGAUUCUUCUUCAGAGCAAGGCAGAUUAAAAACUUCAAGGGCAACGGAAGGGAAGGUGUUCGCCCCCUCCGGGGAGCCGCAGACUUGGCAUCAGAACUUCAGGCUGGUUUCAGCGCGGAAAGGAAGCCCAGGCUUCUCACACGCCUGAGUGUGCAGUCCUAGAGUCAGACCCAGCCCACCCCUGCCCGGGUGCAGAUGAUGUGUGCUCACUCGGAACUCCCAACAGCCCUGUGAAGAAGCUACUAUUUUCAGAGAUCAGUCUGGGGGGAAGGCAAUAAAGUUUAAUCUGCGGGGGAGAGGCCCUUCCCAGAUCCUGCAGUGGUGGUGGUGGGGGGGGGGGGGAGUUGCUUAGCUUUCCAUUUGUAAGUGGUUUGUUUGUUUUUUAAAGA